AGUCUCGCCAACCGUGGCAUCAAGUGGACGUCAUCGAGAUGGUACGUCGUACCAAUAAAACAUCACCAGCUUUCCACUCGCUCUACUUCUGAACAUUCAGCCAGUAAUGAAGUCGCUCGGGGCUGUGGUUGUGGCCGGGCUGUGUGUCCUCUCACUACGGGGGGGCAGGACGAACGGCCAAGAAUUGCAAUGCAGCGAAGAGAUUUCGGCCCAGUGCCCUAUCAAUGACCCGACCCCUCCACUGUACAUCGCGGACCCGGUCGACUGUGCCAAAUACUGCGAGUGUUCCGUAGGCACCGCCUGGAGCUUCCACUGUGAUGCCAAUUUGCUGUUUAAUGACAUAAAGCACGUUUGUGACUGGCCAAGGAAUGUGGACUGUGGUAACCGAACUCGGCCUACAGUUUAGUACUGCUGACGAAGGAGCGAUUGGACCUGAUGUUUCAACAGCUACACCAUGGCUUCAGUUGAUGGCUGACAUUUGUGUGAUUGAUAAUGAAAAAUUUUCAUGACAUUGAGAAUGAUGCAUCUAUCCAUUUUUUUUAUUUCUUUAUAUCUUGUAUUUCAUUUCCUGUAGAGUAAAUCAUGUAUUUUGCCGGACACAUUAAACUUUGUAUAACUUU
rnacentral:lncRNA from 1 species